rnacentral:rRNA from 1 species
ACGGAAGGCAGCAGUGGGGAAUAUUGCACAAUGGGGGAAACCCUGAUGCAGCGACGCCGCGUGAGUGAAGAAGUAUUUCGGUAUGUAAAGCUCUAUCAGCAGGGAAGAAAAUGACGGUACCUGACUAAGAAGCCCCGGCUAACUACGUGCCAGCAGCCGCGGUAAUACGUAGGGGGCAAGCGUUAUCCGGAUUUACUGGGUGUAAGGGAGCGUAGGCGGCACGGCAAGCCAGAAGUGAAAACCCAGGGCUUAACUCUGGGAUUGCUUUUGGAACUGUCGAGCUAGAUUGCAGGAGAGGUAAGUGGAAUUCCUAGUGUAGCGGUGAAAUGCGUAGAUAUUAGGAGGAACACCAGUGGCGAAGGCGGCUUACUGGACUGUAAAUGACGCUGAGGCUCGAAAGCGUGGGGAGCAAACAGGAUUAGAUACCCUGGUA